CCCGAAGCUGUACAGAUUCUGAGAGUGUACAAGCACAGCCACAGGCCUACUGAAGCCCCAGGAAGAUCCUUGGGAAACACCCCCACUAUUGUCAGGUUUCCUCCCUCCAGAAACAGUAAUGAGACCAUCCUGUGUGGUAUGCUGUGAACCGGUGAGGAGAGCUGGAGAAAGAUGGACUGGCAGACUAUUCAGAUCAUAGGCACCCUCUAUAAAGCUUCACACACAAGAUGCUGAUUAAGUUAGGUGCAUUUUCAUUUAUCUCAAUUGAGGAAUAUGUUAAGAUCAAUCAAAAGUAAAUUUCGUGCUUUGAAAAAAUUAGUCUAACUCAUAAGUUCUUUCACUCA
rnacentral:lncRNA from 1 species